GGUUAAGCGACUAAGCGUACACGGUGGAUGCCUAGGCAAUCAGAGGCGAUGAAGGACGUGCUAAUCUGCGAUAAGCGUCGGUAAGGUGAUAUGAACCGUUAUAACCGACGAUUUCCGAAUGGGGAAACCCAGUGCAAUUCGUUGCACUAUCGUUUGAUGAAUACAUAGUCAAACGAAGCGAACCGGGGGAACUGAAACAUCUCAGUACCCCGAGGAAAAGAAAUCAACCGAGAUUCCCCUAGUAGCGGCGAGCGAACGGGGAGCAGCCCAGAGUCUUAAUCAGCAUUAGCAUCAGGAGAACGGUCUGGAAAGUCCGGCAGUAAAGGGUGAUAGCCCCGUAUCCGAAGGUGUUAGUGUUGUGAACUCGACGAGUAGGGCGGGACACGUGUUAUCCUGUCUGAAUAUGGGGGGACCAUCCUCCAAGGCUAAAUACUCCUGAUUGACCGAUAGUGAACCAGUACCGUGAGGGAAAGGCGAAAAGAACCCCGGCGAGGGGAGUGAAAUAGAACCUGAAACCGUGUACGUACAAGCAGUGGGAGCCUUGAUUUAUCAGGGUGACUGCGUACCUUUUGUAUAAUGGGUCAGCGACUUAUAUUCUGUAGCAAGGUUAACCGUAUAGGGGAGCCGUAGGGAAACCGAGUCUUAACUGGGCGAAUGAGUUGCAGGGUAUAGACCCGAAACCCGGUGAUCUAGCCAUGGGCAGGUUGAAGGUUGGGUAACACUAACUGGAGGACCGAACCGACUAAUGUUGAAAAAUUAGCGGAUGACUUGUGGCUGGGGGUGAAAGGCCAAUCAAACCGGGAGAUAGCUGGUUCUCCCCGAAAGCUAUUUAGGUAGCGCCUCGUGAACUCAUCUUCGGGGGUAGAGCACUGUUUCGACUAGGGGGUCAUCCCGACUUACCAACUCGAUGCAAACUACGAAUACCGAAGAAUGUUAUCACGGGAGACACACGGCGGGUGCUAACGUUCGUCGUGAAGAGGGAAACAACCCAGACCGCCAGCUAAGGUCCCAAAGUCAUAGUUAAGUGGGAAACGAAGUGGGAAGGCUCAGACAGCCAGGAUGUUGGCUUAGAAGCAGCCAUCAUUUAAAGAAAGCGUAAUAGCUCACUGGUCGAGUCGGCCUGCGCGGAAGAUGUAACGGGGCUAAACUAUGCACCGAAGCUGCGGCAGCGAUAUGUAAAUAUUGUUGGGUAGGGGAGCGUUCUGUAAGCCUGUGAAGGUGUGCUGUGAGGCAUGCUGGAGGUAUCAGAAGUGCGAAUGCUGACAUAAGUAACGAUAAUGCGGGUGAAAAACCCGCACGCCGGAAGACCAAGGGUUCCUGUCCAACGUUAAUCGGGGCAGGGUAAGUCGACCCCUAAGGCGAGGCAGAAAUGCGUAGUCGAUGGGAAACGGGUUAAUAUUCCCGUACUGGUGAUAAUUGCGAUGGGGGGACGGAGAAGGCUAGGCUAUCCGGGCGACGGUUGUCCCGGUUUAAGAAUGUAGGCAGGUGAAUUAGGCAAAUCCGGUUCACUAUAUGCUGAGGUUCGAUGACGAGUCACUACGGUGAUGAAGUAGCUCAUGCCCCGCUUCCAGGAAAAGCCUCUAAGCUCUAGAUUAUCAUUAAUCGUACCCCAAACCGACACAGGUGGUCAGGUAGAGAAUACUCAGGCGCUUGAGAGAACUCGGGUGAAGGAACUAGGCAAAAUGGUGCCGUAACUUCGGGAGAAGGCACGCUGGCGCUAGGUGAAGUCCCUCGCGGAUGGAGCUGAAGCCAGUCGCAGAUACCAGCUGGCUGCAACUGUUUAUUAAAAACACAGCACUGUGCAAACACGAAAGUGGACGUAUACGGUGUGACGCCUGCCCGGUGCUGGAAGGUUAAUUGAUGGGGUUAUCCGUAAGGAGAAGCUCUUGAUCGAAGCCCCAGUAAACGGCGGCCGUAACUAUAACGGUCCUAAGGUAGCGAAAUUCCUUGUCGGGUAAGUUCCGACCUGCACGAAUGGCGUAAUGAUGGCCAGGCUGUCUCCACCCGAGACUCAGUGAAAUUGAACUCGCUGUGAAGAUGCAGUGUACCCGCGGCAAGACGGAAAGACCCCGUGAACCUUUACUAUAGCUUGACACUGAACAUUGAGCCUUGAUGUGUAGGAUAGGUGGGAGGCUUCGAAGCGUGGACGCCAGUCUGCGUGGAGCCAACCUUGAAAUACCACCCUUUAAUGUUUGAUGUUCUAACGUUGCCCCGUUAUCCGGGGUGCGGACAGUGUCUGGUGGGUAGUUUGACUGGGGCGGUCUCCUCCCAAAGAGUAACGGAGGAGCACGAAGGUUGGCUAAGCAUGGUCGGACAUCAUGCGGUUAGUGCAAAGGCAUAAGCCAGCUUGACUGCGAGAGUGACGGCUCGAGCAGGUACGAAAGUAGGUCUUAGUGAUCCGGUGGUUCUGAAUGGAAGGGCCAUCGCUCAACGGAUAAAAGGUACUCCGGGGAUAACAGGCUGAUACCGCCCAAGAGUUCAUAUCGACGGCGGUGUUUGGCACCUCGAUGUCGGCUCAUCACAUCCUGGGGCUGAAGUAGGUCCCAAGGGUACGGCUGUUCGCCGUUUAAAGUGGUACGCGAGCUGGGUUUAGAACGUCGUGAGACAGUUCGGUCCCUAUCUGCCGUGGGCGUUGGAAGAUUGAAAGGGGCUGCUCCUAGUACGAGAGGACCGGAGUGGACGCACCACUGGUGUUCGGGUUGUCAUGCCAAUGGCAUUGCCCGGUAGCUAAGUGCGGAAGAGAUAACCGCUGAAAGCAUCUAAGCGGGAAACUUGCCUUGAGAUGAGUCUUCCCUGACCCUUUAAGGGUCCUAAAGGAACGUUUAAGACUAAGACGUUGAUAGGUUGGGUGUGUAAGCAUAGCGAUAUGUUGAGCUAACCAAUACUAAUGAACCGUGAGGCUUAACCUG
rnacentral:rRNA from 1 species